GACGAACGCUGGCGGCGUGCCUAAUACAUGCAAGUAGGACGCAGUUGCGAACGGGUGAGUAACGCGUAGGUAACUACCUAUUAGAGGGGGAUAACUAUUGGAAACGAUAGCUAAUACCGCAUACUAGUAGAUUGACCUGCGUUUUAUUAGCUAGUAGGUAGGGUAAUGGCCUACCUAGGCAACGAUACAUAGCCGAACUGGGAGGGGGAGCGGCCCAACUGGGACUGGGACACGGGCAAGACUCCUAAGGGAGGCAGCAGUAGGGAAUGUUCGGCAAUGGGGGGAACACUGACCGAGCAACGCCGCGGGAGUGAAGAAGGUUUUCGGAUCGUAAAGCUCUGUUGUUAAGGAAGCGGUACUUAACCAGAAAGGGACGGCUAACUACGUGCCAGCAGCCGCGGUAAUUC
rnacentral:rRNA from 1 species